AGAGCUUGAUCCUGGCUCAGGAUGAACGCUAGCGGCAGGCUUAAUACAUGCAAGUCGAGGGGUAACAGGGAAGCUUGCUUCCGCUGACGACCGGCGCACGGGUGCGUAACGCGUAUGCAACCUACCUCUAACUGGGGAAUAGCCCCGAGAAAUCGGGAUUAAUACCCCAUAAUACCAUAAAGUAGCAUUACUUAAUGGUUAAAGUUCCGACGGUUAGAGAUGGGCAUGCGUGACAUUAGUUUGUUGGUGAGGUAACGGCUCACCAAGACUACGAUGUCUAGGGGUUCUGAGAGGAUUUUCCCCCACACUGGUACUGAGACACGGACCAGACUCCUACGGGAGGCAGCAGUAAGGAAUAUUGGGCAAUGGACGAAAGUCUGACCCAGCCAUGCCGCGUGCAGGAUGACUGCCCUAUGGGUUGUAAACUGCUUUUGUAUAGGAAGAAACUUCCGGACGUGUCCGGAACUGACGGUACUAUACGAAUAAGGACCGGCUAACUCCGUGCCAGCAGCCGCGGUAAUACGGAGGGUCCAAGCGUUAUCCGGAUUCAUUGGGUUUAAAGGGUGCGCAGGCGGAAUGAUAAGUCAGUGGUGAAAUCCUACAGCUCAACUGUAGAACUGCCAUUGAUACUGUCACUCUUGAGUACAGUGGAAGUGGGCGGAAUGUAUCAUGUAGCGGUGAAAUGCAUAGAUAUGAUACAGAACACCGAUAGCGAAAGCAGCUCACUAUACUGUAACUGACGCUCAGGCACGAAAGCGUGGGGAGCAAACAGGAUUAGAUACCCUGGUAGUCCACGCCGUAAACGAUCACUCGUUGUUGGCAACACAUCGUCAGCGACUGAACGAAAGCAUUAAGUGAUCCACCUGGGAAGUACGAUCGCAAGGUUGAAACUCAAAGGAAUUGACGGGGGCCCGCACAAGCGGAGGAGCAUGUGGUUUAAUUCGAUGAUACGCGAGGAACCUUACCUGGGCUUAAAUGUAAGACGACAGUCCCCGAAAGGGGAUCUUCCUUCGGGACGUCCUACAAGGUGCUGCAUGGUUGUCGUCAGCUCGUGCCGUGAGGUGUCGGGUUAAGUCCCAUAACGAGCGCAACCCCUAUCCUUAGUUGCCAUCAGGUAAUGCUGGAACUCUAAGGAGACUGCCGGUGAUAAACCGGAGGAAGGUGGGGAUGACGUCAAGUCAUCAUGGCCCUUAUGGGCUGGGCUACACACGUGCUACGAUGGUCGGUACAGAGGGUUGCGAAGCAGCGAU
rnacentral:rRNA from 1 species